UCUGGUGUCCUAGGCAUAGAGGAACCACACCAACCCAUCCCGAACUUGGUGGCUAAACUCUACUGCGGUGACAAUACUAUAGGGGAAGCCCUGCGGGAAAAUAGCUCGGUGCCAAGA
rnacentral:rRNA from 1 species